rnacentral:rRNA from 1 species
GCGCAGCAGGCGAGAAUACUCCGCAAUGCGCGCAAGCGUGACGGGGGGACCCCGAACGUGUCCUUGCACUGCAAGGACUUUUCCUUGAGUCUAAAAAGACUCGGGGAAUAAGGGCUGGGUAAGACGGGUGCCAGCCGCCGCGGUAAUACCCGCAGCUCGAGUGGUCUGGACUUUUAUUGGGUCUAAAGCGUCCGUAGCCGGAUUUGUAAGUCCUCUGUGAAAUCUGGCAGCUUAACUGUCAGGCGAGCAGGGGAUACUACAUUUCUCGGGGACCGGGAGGGGCCAAGGGGUACUCCUGGGGGUAGCGGUGAAAUGCGUUAAUCCUAGGGGGACCACCUGUGGCGAAGGCGCUUGGCCAGAACGGGUCCGACGGUGAGGGACGAAAGCCAGGGGAGCGAACGGGAUUAGAUACCCCGGUAGU